AGAGUUUGAUCCUGGCUCAGAUUGAACGCUGGCGGCAGGCCUAACACAUGCAAGUCGAACGGUAACAGGAAGAAGCUUGCUUCUUUGCUGACGAGUGGCGGACGGGUGAGUAAUGUCUGGGAAACUGCCUGAUGGAGGGGGAUAACUACUGGAAACGGUAGCUAAUACCGCAUAACGUCGCAAGACCAAAGAGGGGGACCUUCGGGCCUCUUGCCAUCGGAUGUGCCCAGAUGGGAUUAGCUUGUUGGUGGGGUAACGGCUCACCAAGGCGACGAUCCCUAGCUGGUCUGAGAGGAUGACCAGCCACACUGGAACUGAGACACGGUCCAGACUCCUACGGGAGGCAGCAGUGGGGAAUAUUGCACAAUGGGCGCAAGCCUGAUGCAGCCAUGCCGCGUGUAUGAAGAAGGCCUUCGGGUUGUAAAGUACUUUCAGCGGGGAGGAAGGGAGUAAAGUUAAUACCUUUGCUCAUUGACGUUACCCGCAGAAGA
rnacentral:rRNA from 1 species